UACGUAGGGUCCGAGCGUUGUCCGGAAUUACUGGGCGUAAAGAGCUCGUAGGUGGUUUGUCGCGUUGUCCGUGAAAACUCACAGCUCAACUGUGGGCGUGCGGGCGAUACGGGGCAGACUGGAGUACUGCAGGGGAGACUGGAAGUUCCUGGUGUAGCGGUGGAAUGCGCAGAUAUCAGGAGGAACACCGGUGGCGAAGGCGGGUCUCUGGGCCGUAACUGACGCUGAGGAGCGAAAGCUGGGGAGCGAACAG
rnacentral:rRNA from 1 species